rnacentral:tRNA from 1 species
GCGGGAGUGGCGGAAUUGGCAGACGCGCCAGACUUAGGAUCUGGUACCGCAAGGUGUGGAGGUUCAAGUCCUCUCUCCCGCACCA